UUUUCUCUUCGUGGGUUGGGGGAGUAAAGAUAUUCUCACAUGGUCUUGGUCCCCUUUCUCUCUUUAUCACCAUGUAUACUCUCUAUAUCUUCUUAAUUAUUAAAUUACUUAAGAGCAUUUUAGGAGAACUUGAAAUAAUCUCUCGUGAGCAUCGGCUCAAUAUUCUGAACAAUGACAUCGUGGUUUGCAUUUUUCCUUUUGCCUGUUGUGGAGUUACCUUUUGAAGUUGACUUUCAAUACUGUUAUGAUGCAGGAUGAGUUACCUUUUGAAGUUGACUUUCAAUACUGUUAUGAUGCAGGAUACGUACAAAAGAUAACAGCUCUGACCUAUGACAAGUUUUUUGUGCCCCGGGAGUAUAUCUAAUUGUAACCAAUAAGUUCCCUGCAACUGUUAACAUUCUUCAUGUAGACUAGUCAUUACAUUUAAAGAGAGAGAAAAAGGAGAAUCUUCAAAAGGAGAAUUUGGAUAAGAAACUCAAGGAAUUCAUUGUAACUUUUGCAAAGAAUUAUUCUUUUCCCAAUUGUAUUCCAUUUUCUAUAACCACAGCUUUGUUCUUUGUUUAUCUUACGUGUCAGUUCAGAAUCUUGUGAUGUAUUU
rnacentral:lncRNA from 1 species